rnacentral:rRNA from 1 species
UCUCCUGGAAAACGGGUGGUAAUGCCGGAUGCUCCAGUUGAUCGCAUGGUUUUUUGGGAAAGCUUUCGCGGUAUGGGAUGGGGUCGCGUCCUAUCAGCUUGACGGCGGGGUAACGGCCCACCGUGGCUUCGACGGGUAGCCGGCCUGAGAGGGCGACCGGCCACAUUGGGACUGAGAUACGGCCCAGACUCCUACGGGAGGCAGCAGUGGGGAAUAUUGCACAAUGGGCGCAAGCCUGAUGCAGCGACGCCGCGUGAGGGAUGGAGGCCUUCGGGUUGUAAACCUCUUUUAUCGGGGAGCAAGCGAGAGUGAGUUUACCCGUUGAAUAAGCACCGGCUAACUACGUGCCAGCAGCCGCGGUAAUACGUAGGGUGCAAGCGUUAUCCGGAAUUAUUGGGCGUAAAGGGCUCGUAGGCGGUUCGUCGCGUCCGGUGUGAAAGUCCAUCGCUUAACGGUGGAUCCGCGCCGGGUACGGGCGGGCUUGAGUGCGGUAGGGGAGACUGGAAUUCCCGGUGUAACGGUGGAAUGUGUAGAUAUCG